GAGUUUGAUCAUGGCUCAGAUUGAACGCUGGCGGCAGGCUUAACACAUGCAAGUCGGGCGGUAACAGGGGAAAGCUUGCUUUCUCGCUGACGAGCGGCGGACGGGUGAGUAAUGCCUGGGAAAUUGCCCUGAUGUGGGGGAUAACCAUUGGAAACGAUGGCUAAUACCGCAUAGUAGCUUCGGCUUAAAGAGGGGGACCUUCGGGCCUCUCGCGUCAGGAUAUGCCCAGGUGGGAUUAGCUAGUUGGUGGGGUAAAGGCUCACCAAGGCAACGAUCUCUAGCUGGUCUGAGAGGAUGAUCAGCCACACUGGAACUGAGACACGGUCCAGACUCCUACGGGAGGCAGCAGUGGGGAAUAUUGCACAAUGGGCGCAAGCCUGAUGCAGCCAUGCCGCGUGUAUGAAGAAGGCCUUCGGGUUGUAAAGUACUUUCAGUGGUGAGGAAGGGAGUAUGUUUAAUAGACAUAUUGCUUGACGUUAGCCACAGAAGAAGCACCGGCUAACUCCGUGCAGCAGCCGCGGUAAUACGGAGGGUGCGAGCGUUAAUCGGAAUUACUGGGCGUAAAGCGCAUGCAGGUGGUCUGUUAAGUCAGAUGUGAAAGCCCGGGGCUUAACCUCGGAAUAGCAUUUAAAACUGUCAGACUAGAGUACUGUAGAGGGGGGUAGAAUUUCAGGUGUAGCGGUGAAAUGCGUAGAGAUCUGAAGGAAUACCGGUGGCGAAGGCGGCCCCCUGGACAGAUACUGACACUCAGAUGCGAAAGCGUGGGGAGCAAACAGGAUUAGAUACCCUGGUAGUCCACGCCGUAAACGAUGUCUACUUGGAGGUUGUGGCCUUGAGCCGUGGCUUUCGGAGCUAACGCGUUAAGUAGACCGCCUGGGGAGUACGGUCGCAAGAUUAAAACUCAAAUGAAUUGACGGGGGCCCGCACAAGCGGUGGAGCAUGUGGUUUAAUUCGAUGCAACGCGAAGAACCUUACCUACUCUUGACAUCUACAGAAGCCUGCGGAGACGCGGGUGUGCCUUCGGGAACUGUAAGACAGGUGCUGCAUGGCUGUCGUCAGCUCGUGUUGUGAAAUGUUGGGUUAAGUCCCGCAACGAGCGCAACCCUUAUCCUUGUUUGCCAGCACGUCAUGGUGGGAACUCCAGGGAGACUGCCGGUGAUAAACCGGAGGAAGGUGGGGACGACGUCAAGUCAUCAUGCCCCUUACGAGUAGGGCUACACACGUGCUACAAUGGCGCAUACAGAGGGCGGCCAACUUGCGAAAGUGAGCGAAUCCCAAAAAGUGCGUCGUAGUCCGGAUUGGAGUCUGCAACUCGACUCCAUGGAGU
rnacentral:rRNA from 1 species